AACAUCGAUAACAAAUACGAUGAUCGCAGUAAGCUGACGCCUCAAUACCAGACGGAGAAUACUGAAAGAAGACACAGCAUAAUGUUCUCCGUGGAUAAACUCGCGAACUGUUGCUUGUUUGCUGUAUGUUUGUGACACACCUAUCGGCACUUACACAUCCCAGACACGGUGAAGACAUGGCAAUGAACGAAAACUGCCGGGAACGAAGUCGAGCCCUCUUUUUAGUUAGUCUCCUCCUCUUGACAUCAGUGUUUUCCACACACGCUCAGUCAGCGUCGCCGCUGGAGUCGUCGUCCCUGCCAAUCUUCGUGGUGAAGCUGAUGAUGGUGAUAUUGACCGUCGUUUGUCUGCCCAUCGCGUUUAUGUGGUUUAGGACCACACGAAAAAAUCAGAGGAAUUUACUCAAAGCAAAUGUCAAGAUGGAAGAAGUGAGUUUGAUUCUAUAACUCACUUCAUGAACUGGGCAAUGGUUGUUAUAAGCUGUGUGUUUAAUUAGUACACAAAGUGUUGGCAUAACUUGCAAAAAGCUUAAAAAAUGUCUCACUAAUGAUUGAGCAAUAUCCGGGGAUUUCGUGAGCGUUAAAUCUUAAAUGGAAAUUGACUAAAAAAAAAAUAAAAAAUAAAAAAUAAAAAAUAAAAAGAGUAUUAAACACGGUAACCAAAAUGA